AUUGAACGCUGGCGGCAGGCUUAACACAUGCAAGUCGAGCGGAGAUGAGGUGCUUGCACCUUAUCUUAGCGGCGGACGGGUGAGUAAUGCUUAGGAAUCUGCCUAUUAGUGGGGGACAACAUUCCGAAAGGAAUGCUAAUACCGCAUACGUCCUACGGGAGAAAGCAGGGGAUCUUCGGACCUUGCGCUAAUAGAUGAGCCUAAGUCGGAUUAGCUAGUUGGUGGGGUAAAGGCCUACCAAGGCGACGAUCUGUAGCGGGUCUGAGAGGAUGAGCCGCCAAACUGGGACUGAGACACGGCCCAGACUCCUACGGGAGGCAGCAGUGGGGAAUAUUGGACAAUGGGGGGAACCCUGAUCCAGCCAUGCCGCGUGUGUGAAGAAGGCCUUAUGGUUGUAAAGCACUUUAAGCGAGGAGGAGGCUACUGAGACUAAUACUCUUGGAUAGUGGACGUUACUCGCAGAAUAAGCACCGGCUAACUCUGUGCCAGCCGCCGCCGUAAGAC
rnacentral:rRNA from 1 species